rnacentral:rRNA from 1 species
GACGAACGCUGGCGGCGUGCUUAACACAUGCAAGUCGAACGGAAAGGCCCUGCUUUUGUGGGGUGCUCGAGUGGCGAACGGGUGAGUAACACGUGAGUAACCUGCCCUUGACUUUGGGAUAACUUCAGGAAACUGGGGCUAAUACCGGAUAGGAGCUCCUGCUGCAUGGUGGGGGUUGGAAAGUUUCGGCGGUUGGGGAUGGACUCGCGGCUUAUCAGCUUGUUGGUGGGGUAGUGGCUUACCAAGGCUUUGACGGGUAGCCGGCCUGAGAGGGUGACCGGCCACAUUGGGACUGAGAUACGGACCAGACUCCUACGGGAGGCAACAGUGGGGAAUAUUGCACAAUGGGCGGAAGCCUGAUGCAGCAACGCCGCGUGCGGGAUGACGGCCUUCGGGUUGUAAACCGCUUUCGCCUGUGACGAAGCGUGAGUGACGGUAAUGGGUAAAGAAGCACCGGCUAACUACGUG